rnacentral:misc_RNA from 1 species
UAUUUUCCUGCACCAUGGAUACGUUUCUCGCACAUUUUUCAUCGAAUCAUCACAUCUAUAGUGAACAGAAUUUUUAUAUACAUAUGUAUAUAUAAUAUAUCUGUUGUUUCUAACGGUUCACAGUGAAUGGAAUAAUACUGUAAUGAUUCGUAGAGCAGCGCAGACAUAAAGAAACCAUAGAAAUUCGAUCGAUCGUUGUCAUCGGCCGAUUGUAUUCAUGCUCGUGGACAUAAAUUUUAAUCCUAUCUUCGUACGAUCCGCGUUAAAAGAUUUUAUUUCUGUUUCAAUCCUUUCAUUUCUUUUCGCUGACCGAACAAAAAUAUUAUAUAUCCCUAAAAUCGCGAAUCGUUUCGUUCAAUGUUCCGAGCUCGACUGGCAUUUUGAAUUAACGUUGCACUGGCCUGACGUCUGAUAUAAUACCACUGAACUCUAUAUAUGUAUACAUGGUGCGUAACG